ACGAGCGGCGAACGGGUGAGUAACACGUGGGUGAUCUGCCUUGCACUUCGGGAUAAGCCUGGGAAACUGGGUCUAAUACCGGAUAUGACCACUAAAUGCAUGUCUUGUGGUGGAAAGAUUUAUCGGUGCGAGAUGGGCCCGCGGCCUAUCAGCUUGUUGGUGAGGUAACGGCUCACCAAGGCGACGACGGGUAGCCGACCUGAGAGGGUGACCGGCCACACUGGGACUGAGACACGGCCCAGACUCCUACGGGAGGCAGCAGUGGGGAAUAUUGCACAAUGGGCGAAAGCCUGAUGCAGCGACGCCGCGUGCGGGAUGACGGCCUUCGGGUUGUAAACCGCUUUUGACAGGGACGAAGCGCAAGUGACUGUACCUGUAGAAUAAGGACCGGCCAACUACGUGCCAGCAGCCGCGGUAAUACGUAGGGUCCGAGCGUUGUCCGGAAUUACUGGGCGUAAAGAGCUUGUAGGCGGUUCGUCGCGUCGUUUGUGAAAACUUGGGGCUCAACCUUAAGCUUGCAGGCGAUACGGGCGAACUAGAGUACUUCAGGGGAGACUGGAAUUCCUGGUGUAGCGGUGAAAUGCGCAGAUAUCAGGAGGAACACCGGUGGCGAAGGCGGGUCUCUGGGAAGUAACUGACGCUGAGAAGCGAAAGCAUGGGUAGCAAACAGGAUUAGAUACCCUGGUAGUCCAUGCCGUAAACGGUGGGUACUAGGUGUGGGGCUCCUUCCACGGACUCCGUGCCGUAGCU
rnacentral:rRNA from 1 species